rnacentral:rRNA from 1 species
ACUGGGCGUAAAGCGUGCGCAGGCGGUUAUAUAAGUCAGAUGUGAAAUCCCUGGGCUCAACCUAGGAACUGCAUUUGAGACUGUAUGGCUAGAGUGUGUCAGAGGGGGGUAGAUUCCACGUGUAGCAGUGAAAUGCGUAGAUAUGUGGAGGAAUACCGAUGGCGAAGGCAGCCCCCUGGGAUAACACUGACGCUCAUGCACGAAAGCGUGGGGAGCAAACAGGAUUAGAUAUCCUGGUAGUCCACGCCCUAAACGAUGUCUACUAGUUGUUGGGUCUUAAUUGACUUAGUAACGCAGCUAACGCGUGAAGUAGACCGCCUGGGGAGUACGGUCGCAAGAUUAAAACUCAAAGGAAUUGACGGGGACCCGCACAAGCGGUGGAUGAUGUGGAUUAAUUCGAUGCAACGCGAAAAACCUUACCUACCCUUGACAUGUACAGAAUGCCGAAGAGAUUUGGCGGUGCUCGCAAGAGAACUGUAACACAGGUGCUGCAUGGCUGUCGUCAGCUCGUGUCGUGAGAUGUUGGGUUAAGUCCCGCAACGAGCGCAACCCUUGUCAUUAGUUGCUACAUUAAGUUGAGCACUCUAAUGAGACUGCCGGUGACAAACCGGAGGAAGGUGGGGAUGACGUCAAGUCCUCAUGGCCCUUAUGGGUAGGGCUUCACACGUCAUACAAUGGUACAUACAGAGGGCCGCCAACCCGCGAGGGGGAGCUAAUCCCAGAAAGUGUAUCGUAGUCCGGACUGUAGUCUGCAACUCGACUACAUGAAGUUGGAAUCGCUAGUAAUCGCGGAUCAGCAUGUCGCGGUGAAUACGUUCCCGGGUCUUGUACACACCGCCCGUC